GGACGAACGCUGGCGGCGUGCUUAACACAUGCAAGUCGAACGGAAAGGCCCUGCUUUUGUGGGGUGCUCGAGUGGCGAACGGGUGAGUAACACGUGAGUAACCUGCCCUUGACUUUGGGAUAACUUCAGGAAACUGGGGCUAAUACCGGAUAGGAGCUCCUGCUGCAUGGGGGGGGUUGGAAAGUUUCGGCGGUUGGGGAUGGACUCGCGGCUUAUCAGCUUGUUGGUGGGGUAGUGGCUUACCAAGGCUUUGACGGGUAGCCGGCCUGAGAGGGUGACCGGCCACAUUGGGACUGAGAUACGGCCCAGACUCCUACGGGAGGCAGCAGUGGGGAAUAUUGCACAAUGGGCGGAAGCCUGAUGCAGCAACGCCGCGUGCGGGAUGACGGCCUUCGGGUUGUAAACCGCUUUCGCCUGUGACGAAGCGUGAGUGACGGUAAUGGGUAAAGAAGCACCGGCUAACUACGUG
rnacentral:rRNA from 1 species